rnacentral:lncRNA from 1 species
CAGUGAAUUGAACAAACAGAGUCGUAGAAAAUUAAAAGAAAAUGUCACAUCUCUUGUAAAUACACACACACACACACAGCAAUCGAAUUGGAGAAGCUAACACAUUGAAAACCAAAAAAAAUAAAAAAACAAGUCAUGGUCAUGGAUGCACAGCCCUCUCAACAGUAACGUAACAAUCCAAAAAACAAAAACAAUAGUAAUAAAAACAAGUUGCAUUGCAUUGGCAAAUUUCUACUAAAAACAAAGAAACAGCAAUCAAUUCAGGUUCUGUAGCAUACUGUUGACUUGACUCUUUUGUCCUUUGUUUCAGUACUAUUCAUUUCACUUUCAAUGUGACGAUGAUUGAAUCAAUUCAUGAAUUUGUGGAGAUUGAGAUUCAGAUUGAGAUUGAGAUUGAGAUGAUUCUCUUCUUGAAAAACUUCUCCAAAACCCAGCACUAUAAAAUCUCUCCCACAUCUCUUUCUCAAGAGCAAUAGCAUCAUCAUCUUCAGAUGAAUAUUCAAGUCUUUUUAUAUCUGAAGAACCGUCGUUUACACACAUUGGAGAAACACGAAUUACACCGUUAACGUAGUUUAUAUCACAACAACCACAAUAACAGUUGCGUCGUUUAGGUUGCAACAAACCAUCUUUGAUAACCCUUCUACGCCGUCGUUUUCGGAGCAUUUUCCGGCAAAGACCCGCCGGAAUUUUGUAAACUGCUAAGAGAAGAAAAUGUGCUAAACCACAUGGACAACAACAGCACACCGCUACACACUCCGCCGCCGUGCCUCCGACGACUUCUCCAACUGCACAACCCUUCUUUGAUGACUGGAUUUCAAGUAAAGGUUGUCGCCGCCGGGUAAUUGACGCCGUUUGCCGGAGAACUAUCUUGUUUGACAUUUCCUUGGGUUUUCUUGAGAAACGUUGAAAAUGGACAAGUUUCCUUGGGUUGAGGAAAAAUGAUGAAAUGGAUGAUGGGGUGUGGAUCUUUAAAAAAAAAAAAUGAAGGAUCCACACCCUUGUUUGAUGAAUGUUAGAGCAAAAACUUGAGUUCUUCAAUCAUGGCAAAGAAAGAAAGAUGAAAAAUAAUGGUGUGUUGAGGUUGAAAAAGUGUUAUAAAGAAGGAAGAAAAAAAAGGGUUUGAGGUGGUGAAAACUAAUUUUAGGAAUUAGGGUGUGGCGUCCUACAAAUGUGGGACAACAGAGUAAGCUAAAGAGAUGUGGAAGGAAAUUUGGUUUUUGAUAUUUUUAUGUAUUUUUUGUUGAGUUGGGAAAAUUGGUGUGAUGUGAAGGGCAUUACUCAAUUUUUAUUUUUAUUCUCUUACUUACGU